GGAUACAUAACUCAGAUGGUUUAGAGUAUCACGUUGACAUCGUGAAAGUCACCGGUUCAAAUCCGGUUGUAUCCACCA
rnacentral:tRNA from 1 species